GUGGCCAUGUAGCUUCUUUUCAUCUGGUGAAAAGAUGAGGGCUUUGCUAUGAAGCAGAGCUGGACUUGGAGCAGAAGGGUUUAUCAGCUCUUCCCUUGGUUCAUCAUGUAGGGGAAUUCUGUGGGAGGCAAUGCCAAAGGCCUUACUGAAGUCAGGGAAUAUGUCCACUGCUUUCCUCUGAUCAAGCAAGCCAGCCAUUUAUCAUGGGAGAUUGUCAAGUUGGUCAAGUGACUGACGCUUCAGGAAGACAACAAAUGGGCCCAAAGACAUGAAUCGGGACUCCACUGCCUGACUGUUCCUUGUAUAACGGUGUGACUUGUGCAUCCCUGCCACCAUCCAACCCACUCAGACCAGCUGUUACCCUGUCCUUUGGCACACAGCUGGGUGAUACCUAGGGAACUCAGUGUUGG